rnacentral:lncRNA from 1 species
CACCUCAAACAAAUUGCAACAGAAAAUAUUAUUAUUGCAGAAGAUAAAGUAAGGAAUAAUAUAAAACAUAUAAAAAGUCUAGAAAAAUCGAAGUUGCGGAAACAGUAAAAAAACGGGUUUGUAUUACGAUAUUUUCGAAAUUUUUGGAAAGACGGGAACGGCUUGCCAUAUGUGAUAAAACGUCUCCAAAACACAGACGAGCGUCUGCAAAAACGACGACAACAACAACAUCAAAUGUAAACAAACUACCUUUAGGCAGAAAAACUAGCUCAACAAUGGGUUAGACUAAGGACCUUUCAGCUCAUUCUGUUGUGUAAUAUACGCAGUUUUCAAAACUAUGCAAGCUUGAAGCACGAGUGCGUUGCCAAUAUAUCAACUCCGCCACUCCUGAUCUGGUUGAAUCUUAGGAGAAUACUAUUAGUUUCAGAUACAUGUUGUAAAUAGAAGAGUAGAAAGCAAAAUGGCGUGACUGAUUAUUCCCGAUUUGAAUGAAAGAAGAUGGACUCCUGCAAGAUUUGCCAUCAACAGAUCGAAGGCCAAGCAAAGGCGGUAAAGCUAAGUCAAAAGGGCUGUGAUGGUAUAAAUGAUGCUUGUGAUAAACGAAAUGACAGUUUACAUGUUAAACCUGGUGACUAUGUUCAUGUUGAGUGCAGAAAACAUUAUUGUAAUCCAAAUUGUAUAAAACGUGACACUAGGGAAUGCAAAGUAAUUAAUGAUUCACCAUUGUCACCUCUGAGAUCGAAAAAUGUUAAAUUUUCAUACAAAGAACAUUGUCUGUAUUGUGGGCAACCUGUUGCUGAUGUUAAGGGAACAAAACGAAAGCGGGGUGAUGUAUGGCCAAUAACGACAUUAGAGCCAACAAUUCUGAAUGUAUGUUUAAAAAGAAAUGAUAGUUGGUCAGACACGGUUAA